GAUUCUUGGGUGGAUUAAGAAUGUUGUAAUGUUUAACUCAUUUGAAACUUUAUGCCCCUCAAUAUUCUUUAUUCCAAAGUUGGAAUGGAAGACCACAAACCAACAAACAUGUAAACAUUAACAUGAAUAUUCUUGCAUGUAAUCUGCUUUCUUUGGACACUCCUGGCUUGAUUACGGCAUGAUCAUAACUUAGGUUUGUCUUGGCGCUUGUGAAACAAUUUCUAUAUAUAUUUGAGUUUCUAUAUAUCCUUGCUAUAUAUCUUUGUAUAUGCCUCGAUCGAUUUGCACCUUUCGGAAAUCGAUCUCGACUGAACAAAAUCUCAGUACAUGUAGAAUUAGCAAAACUUUACUUCUAUGUGGAAAUUAGUAUGAUGAUCAUUGGAUGGAGGUAUAUUUUUUUUUUGAAAAGGGGAAUUCCCGGCCUCUGCAUCAGAAAGAUGCAUACGGCCAUCUUAUUAGCCAAAUAGAUAAGUAUCUACAUGGUUCGAAAGGUCGCCAAAAGUAAUAAAAAAGUACAGAAAGCUCACACAGAGCCUAAAAAAAGGCUAGAAACACCCACUAGCCAAGACAAGAUGCCACAACCGGCCGGCCCAAAGUAGAUAGGGAAACUAAAUACCUAUCCUAUUACAUGACCGCCAUCCAAACCGGUUGAAGAUAUCCCGAGCUACCAUCUCCCAGCGGAAAGACCCAGUAACCAAAUGCUCCCUGGCCGCCGUCUGGGUGAGUAGCGACCACGAACGGAUCAGUGCCGUAGAUCGGAAAAUGACCUGCAAAAAAUGUAUACAUGAUAAUCUGUUAAAGACCAAAUCAUUUCUGCAAGUCCAGAGAGUCCACAGCAAAGCACAAACUCCAACCCGAAUAUGUCUCGCUAAGCCAGGCUCAAUCCCAUUAAGCCAAGUCCCAAAUAACGCAUUCACAGAAUUCGGUGGAGUGAUAUUAAAGGCAAUGUGGACUGUCUGCCAAAGUACCUUGGCCAACGGGCAAUCAAAAAAGAGGUGUUUGAUAGUCUCAUCCCGAUCGCAGAAACUACACCUAGUAGGUCCUGUCCAAUUACGCUUUAUCAAAUUAUCCUUAGUUAAAAUAACUUGUUUAUGGACAAACCACAUAAACACUUUUAUUUUCAAAGGAACUUUGACGUCCCAAACAUUUUUAGAUGUAGGAAUGGAGUUCAAAUUGAUAACAUCAAUAUACAUUGAUUUAACCGUGAAAACUCCAGACUUACUCAAUUUCCAGCGUAAUUCAUCGGGUUGUUGUGAAAGCUGGACAUCCAUCAGUCUCCUAACUAGAUGGAGCCAUUCUUCCCAACGAUUGCCCGCUAGCGUUCGACGGAACUGUAUAUUAAGGGGAGUGGUUUGAAAGACCGAUGCGACGAAUACCUCACGUCGUUGAACUAUGCGGUAUAAAGACGGAUAUUGGAUGGCUAGGGGUGUGUCGCCGAGCCAAGUAUCCUCCCAGAAACGUGUACUCGAGCCGUUUCCAAUAACAAACUUCGUCCUAUUAAAUAAGGCCUGUUUGACUUUCAUCAGGCCUUUCCAGAAAGGCGAAUCGGUCGGCCUGACUAUAACCUGGGACAGAGUUUUUGUCUGGAGGUAUUUGCUGCGAAGGAUUUGAGCCCACAUAGGUAUAUACAUACAUCUUAUAAUGAAAUGUACACUUGGAAUUAAGAUUCAGCAAUUCUGUGACUUGUCAUGAAGUAGUUUACUACACCAAACCAUAGUUUUCUAUCCAGUAUUUUUCUCUUUUGUGUUAUUACUUACUACUGGUUGGAACACCUGGUAUUUCGGAAGGAAUGGGAAAACAUCUAUGAAGUAACUUGUUUUAGUCCAAUUUAUAUCUCUAUAGUUUAUCUUCCAGUUAUGUUUGGAUUUCAUUUCCAUUUAUUUAUAAGCCUACUGAUUAUUGUAUCGUUGAGAAGUAUGGGCAAGGCAACAUGGUCCAUCUUGGUGGAAGCCUUGCCAUUCUCUCCACGACAUACUGAUGUUAUGCA
rnacentral:lncRNA from 1 species